GAAGUUUACAAGCACAGGUAAACAAUGAUGCCCGAUGACGCGUCAAUAAACACACACCAAUGAAGCAAGGAAGAGACCGCGACUGCUUUAGACCAAUGAAACCGAUAAAACACAACUGUUACACAGGAAUGGAAGGAGAUGUGUCAGAACAAAAAAGGCUCAAGAGCAACGUCAUCAGUACCCAGGAGCAGCCCACAACUUCUGUGGAGCAUCUGGAGUUUCCCCCCCUCUUUCAACUGGCUGGGACCUGAGGGCAGGGCCUGUUGAGGAUCAAGAGUGUGUGCGUGCGUUUGUGCGG